CCUACGGGUGGCUGCAGUGGGGAAUAUUGCACAAUGGGGGGAACCCUGAUGCAGCAAUGCCGCGUGGGUGAAGAAGCACUCCGGUGCGUAAAGCCCUGUCAGCAGGGAAGAAAAUGACAGUACCUGGACAAGAAGCCCCGGCUAACUACGUGCCAGCAGCCGCGGUAAUACGUAGGGGGCAAGCGUUAUCCGGAUUUACUGGGUGUAAAGGGCGUGCAGCCGGAGAGACAAGUCAGAUGUGAAAUCCACGGGCUCAACCCGUGAACUGCAUUUGAAACUGUUUCCCUUGAGUGUCGGAGAGGUAAUCGGAAUUCCUUGUGUAGCGGUGAAAUGCGUAGAUAUAAGGAAGAACACCAGUGGCGAAGGCGGAUUACUGGACGAUAACUGACGGUGAGGCGCGAAAGCGUGGGGAGCAAACAGGAUUAGAUACCCCAGUAGUC
rnacentral:rRNA from 1 species